UUCCCUCUGCUGGUCUCUGUGAGGUGAUUGAAUAUUGAAUCCCGAGUAAGCAUUGAACCAGGGGCCCACCAGUUGUCGUGGUGUGCAAGCCCGGCAUAGCGACCGGGAAGCCUAAAACGGCACAUCGGGCACCCACCUAGCGCAAGCUAGGGGUUCAGUUCAAUCGGCCCACGUUUCUGGCGGUAGGAAC
rnacentral:other from 1 species